CAAGCUCAAAGAGUGCCUGCAAUAAAAAAAUACAAUCAGGAACUCGACAAUACGAAUGUCGGUCAGUCAGCCAACAAUAUAAUCAAGUCGUAAGUUCAAUGUAGUGGAAGAUGGGUGCAUUUGCUGUUUACCAUUCUUAUCAAUCGUUCUCGCAAAAGUUCAUGUUAUGCUUUUGUCACAAAUGGUUGGGUAGUUUGGAUGAAUUCCAAAUUGUUUCUGGGCGUUUGACAACUUUCAACCACUUCCUAUACGUGUCACCAGCCUAACAAACAUGAUAUUUGACUUGUAAAUAAUUUGGACCUAAGCAUUAAAUUUUUAAAAUAUGUCCUAUGUAAAAUUAUGUUGUUUUGUUUUUAAAUCUGAAGUAAAUUUAUUAUUCAUUAAACGUUAA